rnacentral:lncRNA from 1 species
GAGUGGGCUGCUGGACCUAUCUCAAGUCCCUCUCCUGAUCUUUCUUUCUGGGUCUCAUUGUCCUCCUCUUCUGUGCUUUGGGAACCUUGUGAGCUUUAUAGAGGGCUUGUGUUAGUGCCCGGUGAGUGUGUGAUUAUAAACCACGGAUGUGUGUCCUGAGCCCUCUGGAUUCUAACACACAUUCCGAGUUCUCCCUAAUGCAAAUGCCACUUCUAGUAAGAGCAGCACGAUGUUCGAGAGACUAAGGUGGGAGGUGGUCACCGGUGGUGAAACGUAAUCGAAAGCCCCUUUGGUGGUCCCCGUUUGUUAUCUCAGUACUUGGGAGGUGCCUUCAGGAAGAUCAGGAGUUCAAGAUCAUCCGCUGAUGCUUAAGAAUUCCAGGACAAGCUGGGCGGUGGUGGCGCACGCCUGUAGUCCCAGCACUUGGGAGGCAGAGGCAGGCGGAUUUCUGAGUUCGAGGCCAGCCUGGUCUACAAAGUGAGUUCCAGGACAGCCAGGGCUACACAGAGAAACCCUGUCUCGAAAAACCAAGGGAAAAAAAAAAAAAAAAAGAAUUCCAGGACAGCUCCAGCUACCCAAGUCCUUGUCUCAAAGAGCGAACACAUGCAGAUAAUACUUAGAAUAUAGAACAACUUAGUUACACAAACCACCCUUUUCCCAAGAUCUGAGCAUUGGGACUCUAGUGAAAACUCACCUUUAAUACGAUGAUAAACUGAUUUCCCUCAGGCUAGUAACAGAGGAGGCCAACUUAGAGCCAGCUCUUGAUUGAGAGCACAGUAGUGCUGGGUGGUAUAUUUCCAUUUACCUUGUCACACAUUCAGAGUAUUUAGGCUGGAAGGAGGCCGAGGGUGUCAAGAAUUAGACAUUUACUGGAAAGAGUACCCUAUGGAGACAGCUGACUGGGUCUCUAAGAUCAACUGCAGGCAAGAAUGUUUUGUGGGUAAAAAGCAAGUAAUUUUUUUUUUUUUUGACUAUUUGCUACCCAUCACAGCCCUUUUUUAAUUCCCAGAGGAGGAAAUCCUAAAAUAGUAUGCACUCCUUCAAGAAAAAAACCUCCACCAAGAAAAGUGUUUUGCAAGGCAUAUGUGUUUUUUUUUUUGUUUUUUUUUGUUUUUUUUUCUGAUACCCACAGAUGUACCUUCUUAAGAUGCCAUCAAAAUGGCAUCUGGGUUAUCCUAAAAGGUCUAUUGUCUACAAAAUCAGUAUUUUUAUUAUGACAAAAAUAAGGAGAUGUAUUCCUUGUACAAUCUGUAUUCAACAAUGUUGGAUAAUUUGGCAAAGAUGAGUGUUGGUGUAAUUGGUGGUAUUUCCAGUGGUGUAAAUCACCCCUCAUAGUUACACUCAUGCUUAAUGCACAUAUUUAAUUUAAAGAGCAUAUCAAAAAAGUAAUUCCUGCCCUGAUUUUUCUUGUUAGAUGCAUGUCAGAAAACCCAACAGACUUUUAAGGUGUACUGUAAUAGUAUAUGCCAUCAAAGGACAAAAGGCCUUUAAGGAAAAGGGGAUAAACCAUUUUAAGUUAAUUUUUGUAUGCGAGUCCACUGCUUGGCACUGUGCAUAGAUGGAGGUCAGAGGACAUCUUGUGCGGCCAGUGCUCUCUUUCCACUAUCCAGGUACUGGGGAUUGAACUCACAUUGCCAGGUUUGGCCUAGAGAGGCCUGUACCGGCUGAGCCAACUCACGAGCUGCUAAAGGUCCUCCUUGUCCCCCUGACUAUGAGAUGCACCCCCUGUGUCUAUGUUUCUCUUAGACCUGGUAAAAUAUGUGUUGGUAGCAUCCGUUGACCUAGUUACACCAUUGUACAAUGUAAUCCUGUAGAGUAUAUACCUGACAGUUUGGAGUUAUUGAAGUGUGACUGUUUUUGUUCUUAGAGCAUGGAAACAUGUGACAAAAGAUGUGACAAAUAGCUUUUGAUUAAAGUACAUAUACACC